UACGUAGGGGGCGAGCGUUGUCCGGAUUUAUUGGGCGUAAAGAGCUCGUAGGCGGUUUGUCGCGUCUGCUGUGAAAACUCGAGGCUCAACCUCGGGCUUGCAGUGGGUACGGGCAGACUAGAGUGCGGUAGGGGUGACUGGAAUUCCUGGUGUAGCGGUGGAAUGCGCAGAUAUUAGGAAGAACACCAGUGGCGGAAGGCGGCUCACUGGUCCGGUACUGACGCUGAGG
rnacentral:rRNA from 1 species